rnacentral:rRNA from 1 species
UGCAGUCGAGCGGGGGAAGUUGCUUCGGUAACUGACCUAGCGGCGGACSGKUGAGUAAUACUUAGGAAUCUGCCUAUUAAUGGGGGACAACAUCUCGAAAGGGAUGCUAAUACCGCAUACGCCCUACGGGGGAAAGCAGGGGAUCACUUGUGACCUUGCGUUAAUAGAUGAGCCUAAGUCGGAUUAGCUAGUUGGUGGGGUAAAGGCCUACCAAGGCGACGAUCUGUAGCGGGUCUGAGAGGAUGAUCCGCCACACUGGGACUGAGACACGGCCCAGACUCCUACGGGAGGCAGCAGUGGGGAAUAUUGGACAAUGGGGGGAACCCUGAUCCAGCCAUGCCGCGUGUGUGAAGAAGGCCUUAUGGUUGUAAAGCACUUUAAGCGAGGAGGAGGCUCUCUUGGUUAAUACCCAAGAUGAGUGGACGUUACUCGCAGAAUAAGCACCGGCUAACUCUGUGCCAGCAGCCGCGGUAAUACAGAGGGUGCGAGCGUUAAUCGGAUUUACUGGGCGUAAAGCGUGCGUAGGCGGCUUUUUAAGUCGGAUGUGAAAUCCCCGAGCUUAACUUGGGAAUUGCAUUCGAUACUGGGAAGCUAGAGUAUGGGAGAGGAUGGUAGAAUUCCAGGUGUAGCGGUGAAAUGCGUAGAGAUCUGGAGGAAUACCGAUGGCGAAGGCAGCCAUCUGGCCUAAUACUGACGCUGAGGUACGAAAGCAUGGGGAGCAAACAGGAUUAGAUACCCUGGUAGUCCAUGCCGUAAACGAUGUCUACUAGCCGUUGGGGCCUUUGAGGCUUUAGUGGCGCAGCUAACGCGAUAAGUAGACCGCCUGGGGAGUACGGUCGCAAGACUAAAACUCAAAUGAAUUGACGGGGGCCCGCACAAGCGGUGGAGCAUGUGGUUUAAUUCGAUGCAACGCGAAG